GAUGAACGCUGGCGGCGUGCUUAAUACAUGCAAGUCGAACGGAAAGGCCCUGCUCUUGUGGGUUGCCCGAGUGGCGAACGGGUGAGUAACACGUGAGUAACCUCUCCUUGUCUUUGGGAUAAAUUUAGGAAACAGCGGCUCAUACCGGAUAGGAGCUCCUGCUGCAUGGUGUGGGUUGGUAAGUUUCGGCGGUUGGGGAUGGAAUGGCGGCUUAUCAGCUUCAUGGUGGGGUAGUGGCUUACCAAGGUUUCGACGGGUAGCCGGCCUGGGAGGGUGACCGGCGACAUUGGUACUGAGGUACGGCCCAGACUGCUACGGGACGCAACAGUGGGGAACAUUGCGGAAUGAGCGGAAGCCUGAUGCAGCAGCGCCGCGUGCGGGAAAACGUCCUUCUGGUGGUAAACCGAUUUCGCCGGUAACGAAGCGUGAGUGACGGUAAUGGAUAAAGAAGCACCGGCUAACUACGUG
rnacentral:rRNA from 1 species